GGGGAAUAUUGCACAAUGGGGGAAACCCUGAUGCAGCAACGCCGCGUGAAGGAUGACGGUUUUCGGAUUGUAAACUUCUUUUCUUAGUGACGAAGACAGUGACGGUAGCUAAGGAAUAAGCAUCGGCUAACUACGUGCCAGCAGCCGCGGUAAUACGUAGGAUGCAAGCGUUAUCCGGAUUUACUGGGUGUAAAGGGAGCGCAGGCGGGACUGCAAGUUGGAUGUGAAAUACCGUGGCUUAACCACGGAACUGCAUCCAAAACUGUAGUUCUUGAGUGAAGUAGAGGCAAGCGGAAUUCCGAGUGUAGCGGUGAAAUGCGUAGAUAUUCGGAGGAACACCAGUGGCGAAGGCGGCUUGCUGGGCUUUAACUGACGCUGAGGCUCGAAAGUGUGGGGAGCAAACAGGAUUAGAUACCCUGGUAGUCCACACUGUAAACGAUGAUAGCUAGGUGUGGGGGGUCUGACCCCUUCCGUGCCGGAGUUAACGCAAUAAGCUAUCCACCUGGGGAGUACGACCGCAAGGUUGAAACUCAGAGGAAUUGACGGGGGCCCGCACAAGCAGUGGAUUAUGUGGUUUAAUUCGAAGCAACGCGAAGAACCUUACCAGGUCUUGACAUCCGACUAACGAGAUAGAGAUAUGUCAGGUGCCCUUCGGGGAAAGUCGAGACAGGUGGUGCAUGGUUGUCGUCAGCUCGUGUCGUGAGAUGUUGGGUUAAGUCCCGCAACGAGCGCAACCCCUGCCAUUAGUUGCUACGCAAGAGCACUCUAAUGGGACCGCUACCGACAAGGUGGAGGAAGGUGGGGACGACGUCAAAUCAUCAUGCCCCUUAUGACCUGGGCUACACACGUAAUACAAUGGCCGUUAACAGAGGGAAGCAAAGCGGUGACGCAGAGCAAAACCCUAAAAACGGUCCCAGUUCGGACUGUAGGCUGCAACCCGCCUACACGAAGUUGGAAUUGCUAGUAAUCGCGGAUCAGCAUGCCGCGGUGAAUACGUUCCCG
rnacentral:rRNA from 2 species